rfam:TPA: Bos taurus chromosome 1, whole genome shotgun sequence.
UCCCUGGCAAUCCAAUGGUUAGGAUUCUGUGCUUCCAUUGCAGGGGCCCAGGUUCAAUUCCUAGCUGGGGAA